rfam:Acetonema longum DSM 6540 Contig00017, whole genome shotgun sequence.
GGCCCGUUGGUCAAGUGGUUAAGACACCGCCCUUUCACGGCGAGAACGGGGGUUCGAAUCCCCCACGGGUCA